rnacentral:rRNA from 1 species
UAGGGAAUCUUCCGCAAUGGACGAAAGUCUGACGGAGCAACGCCGCGUGAGUGAUGAAGGCCUUCGGGUCGUAAAACUCUGUUGUUAGGGAAGAACAAGUAUCGGAGUAACUGCCGGUACCUUGACGGUACCUAACCAGAAAGCCACGGCUAACUACGUGCCAGCAGCCGCGGUAAUACGUAGGUGGCAAGCGUUGUCCGGAAUUAUUGGGCGUAAAGCGCGCGCAGGCGGUCCUUUAAGUCUGAUGUGAAAGCCCACGGCUCAACCGUGGAGGGUCAUUGGAAACUGGGGGACUUGAGUGCAGAAGAGGAAAGCGGAAUUCCACGUGUAGCGGUGAAAUGCGUAGAGAUGUGGAGGAACACCAGUGGCGAAGGCGGCUUUCUGGUCUGUAACUGACGCUGAGGCGCGAAAGCGUGGGGAGCAAACA